GGCAGUACGAGCGGACGCUGAAUCCGUGAACUCGACCAUGGCGCAUUCCUCGCUCGAUGCCAACUCUGGCCUCUUAGCGAUUGCUUGACGCACCUGACAAUUACAACGAAAUUAUUUAUAUCAAUGCUCUCCCGAUGCAAAGAUAUCGUAGAAAAGAUAAAGAUAAAGGAGGCUACCUCGGCUGGUGCAGGAUGGCCAGGUCGAAGUACUCUGAUGAGAGCAAUCUCUCCACACGGCCUGAAGAUUUCAGCGACAGACUCAACCGACAAUUUCUCCACUGGAAGUCUCGCGGCUAGGAUCGUUCUCGACGGGGUAGUUUGAUCGAAGGGAGGCAAAGGAUCGACUCUACGUAACUUGCUACCCUGCGGAUUCACUUGAAGCUUCCUCGAUUUCGCCAGAGCAGCGCCUACGACUCUCCAAUCUCUGCUUAAAUGUUUCACCCUUUUAAAACUCGAUAUAAGCUUCAGUGAUACGUAUCCUUCUUUGUUCCUUUUCACGUGUUUCAGCAAGAAAGCGUCUUUCACGAUAUUCUCGUCGGAGAAAUAGAACUCUACCUGGGCACAAAUCUUCUCGGCCAAUUCAUCGGUCGGAGGGACGAAAUCGUCCGCUUGGGUACCUAUACUUACUUCCGAUAUUUCUUCGCUCUUCGAAUCUUUAAAGCUCGCCUCUUCCAACGAAUCUGCUCCAGAAUCUGGAUCACUAUUCUUUCGUUGCAACAACGAUGCAUCAUUCAUUUUCUUCUCAUUGUCGGAACUUCCACUGUCCGAUAGAUCAGCCUCUUCUCCCUUCGAACCUCUUCGAUCGAAGGAAAGGCUCACGUCACUGUCCACGGAGGAAAUACUGUCCCUCGUGUCAGAUUUUUUCAUCGGUGGCGGAGAAAAGAUCAAGUUUCCUACUUGAUCUCUCGAUUCCUGUUGUAUAUCCACCUCUUCCAUCUUUGAAUUCGUUCCUUUGAAAUAUAUAUAUAUAUAUAUGUAUAUAUAUAUAAACAAAUAUCCUUUCAAAUUAAUCCAUCAGAGAAACCGUAUUGUCACUCGACAAAUAUUUUCAAUCUCUUCUCAAUCUCCUCUCUUAAUAUAUUCGAUAUUAUCUUCCCAAUGAUCAAACGAACAUCACCUAUUCCAUAACAAAUCGAUGUCCACGAAUUUACUUGAAAAUUUAUUUAAUCCCUUAUAAUAUAACACUUGGAACUCGAUUGAACCGAAGGCGAUCGAAUCAGAUCAGAGAAUCGAAUCUUUUCAUAUCUCUCUCUCUCUCUCUUUCUCUUUCUUUCUCCCCCAAGAAUAAUUCGUUUGGCCGAAUGAUGAUGGUUGAUCUCUUCCUUCCUGUCACGUUUGCCGAUACGAAAUUGAAUCUGCGAAGACAGGCCAGCAGAUCUAUUAAACGUAACGAUGGCACGCCGACCGAUUCUUGGAGAGGGAGAACGUGGAGGACGAACGUGGAAGUUCGAAAGGAGGGGGGAGAGGGGGCAACUAUCGCGGUGUUAAAGGGACGAAAAAGGGGAGGGAGAGAGGGAAAAAAAAAUUAGAGCCGAAAGAGGUGAUUUUCCCCGCUCUCGUUGGGAACGCGUGCUAGUCUGCCUCGGAAGGGGAGGAAAGUGGGGGACUUGCGCGAUUCGUGACAGUUCGGGGAAGAGUGGCCUUCCCAAAGGCGCGUCCACCUCUUUAAAUACUUUCGCCCGCGGGUCGCGCAUGCGUGAGAAUAAACUUACUCUCGUGACAAACCUACCCUGAGGUCGUGACCUUCCUAAAUACCGGUCAAGAAUGAGGUAUCGAGGGGAAGAUGGUAAUCAUUAGCCGAGAUCUCGGGAAAAAAAUGAAAAUGUAAGAUGAUAGGAGGGGUUGGUUGCGAGCGAAUAAAUUUAAUAUCUUUUCGCCGAUAAUUUUUUUUUUUCCUCCUUUUUUUUCUCUCGUCUCGAACUCGUUUGUCUUUUCUCCUUUUCCGCGAUCAAUUUUGAAAUAAUCAUCGUGAAUUGAUCGACGAUAGUUUUUUUUUUCUUUCUUUUUAUUCUUUUACGCGGAUGUUUACUUAAAGAAGAUUUUACACUAUUCCCGGAGAAAAAGUAAAAUAUAUGACUCUUCAUUCAAGGUUGUAAUGUUUCGCAUAGAAGAGAAAACGAGGAAGGUAUUUAAAAAAAAAAAAGAAAAAAGUUAUUAUCUUUUAUUCAAGGCCUACAGUACUUGAUACAUAAUGUAACACGUAAGAAUUACGUCUAAGAUUAUAUAUAUAUAUAACGUGCUUCUGUAAACAUAUAAUAUAACAUAAUUCUGUAAAUAUAUAAUAAAUAUAAUUACUUUUCAACCAUAAAAAGAAAGAGAGAAUGAAAAAAAGGAGAGAGAUAUCAAGAUAUCAAAAAUCGUGCAAGUAUAAUCGGACGAAUUAUAAAAUUAUUAAUUUACUUACCAUGAAAAACGGUACGAGCAUCGUGUACUUGCUCCUUGAUAUUUUCCAAAAAAUAAGUAUGGAGUAAACGAGCAGCAAGGAUUUUCAUCCAAACUUGUUACGAAUCUGGACAGCUUUAUCGCAAAAAAAAAAAAGAAAAAAGAAAAAGAAAAAUAAAAGGGAAAAAAGUGGAAAGAGCGACGCGAACUCUUGGACUACCUUGUCCGCGUCUGUCACGGAAGCCGGAGGAUGUCGAGACGGCUGUUACAGGAAGGAAGGACUUCUUUAUGGUGGUGGUGAACCUCGGUAACCUCGAGAAGAGACCCGGCGGGCUUGUUCACAAACGCGUUUCGCAUUGCAUCCGGACGCUGCCAGCAUAAUAAGAUAUAGGUCAAGUGCGGCUGGUACCAUGUAUGGCCAUACCUGUGCCGAGGAAGGACAAAGAUAUACGCAGGUUAUCAUUGUCGAGUCGAAAGGGUUCACUCUACAUCGUCACCUCGCCUCUUCGCCUAUUUCGUACGCCACCUGUCGUACAAAAUACUUGAUCACGUCUAGAAUUAAUUCCUACGCUUAAGAAGGAAAGUGUAAAUUUUAUCAUCAUCGGUGUUUCGAUUCUUUUAUUUACGAUAUUUUUAUUUAUUUAUUUUUUUUUUUUUCAUCAAGAGCAACAUUUAUUUUCUUAUUUGUUAUUUUCUUAUAUCAUAUAUGAGAUUAAAAAGAAAAAAAUAAAAGUUUAAGGUUAUAAUUAAUCGAUUAACUUUGAAUUUGUAAUUUAUAUUGUAUCUUUGAUUAAUCUUUGGCGAUUGACAUUGAUGAAUCACGUUAGAAUCUAAUUAAUAGUUCUUUGAACCAAUUAACGAAUAAUCAUUGUAAGUGUACAAGUUUUUCUUAUAUUUCUUAUAUUUCUUAUAUUUCGCUAUGGUUUAAUAUUCUUUUCAAUCAUUUCAAUUAUAAAUUACAUAAAAAAUAAUUAUAUUAUUUUUAUAUUCUUAAAUUAAAACGUGAUCUAAUCGUUUAUUUUUUCGAAAAAUUGAAUUAAGAUUUACGUAAAAGUAUUUAGAGCUGUAUCGUAUAACCCUCUUAGGUAUGGCUUCUUUAUUACGUAAGUUGGUCGGUCCAAACCUUUCAGAACCGUAGAUUAUUUAUUUAACGUUCUUUGAAAUCGUUAUUCACCAGUUUAUAUUUGAUGAUAAUUAUGUUCUUUUGCGUAAUUAUAAGAAUAAUAUGUAUGUAAAAUUAUCCAAUUAUGUUUCAUGUUUUAUUAUUGUAAUAUAAUAUAUUUUCUUAAAUAUUCUUAUUCUCCACUACUCGAUUAUAUUUUUAUCUAACACUUAAUAAUCUACCAAUUGUUCUCAAUUAUCCAAAUAUUUUUCCAAAUAUUACUUUCAAAUUUAUACGUUCUUUCUUGCUACUAUAAAAAUUACGAUAAAUAUUUAUGAUUAUUAUUUCUGAAAUUAAUAAAUUAUAAUUAUAAAUAUUAAUAAAUAUCCAGUUAAAAAAGAAAAUGGAAUUUCACAAUGUAAAAUUUUAAAUAAUACAUUUUAAAUAAUUCAAAUAUUCUUCCAAAUUUAUAUGCUUUCUUAUUUUCUUUCUUACUACUAUAAAAAUUUGAUAUAUUAUUAUUAAUUAAGUAGAAAUUAGUUUAUUCAUUUUAAAAAAAAAUAGAAUUUUACAAUCAAACUCAUUCAAAUUCGCAAUAUGAACGACUGCAAUUAACAUCCAACCAUGCGUGAUUCAAAUAUUCAACCCUGAGGGGAUAUUUCAAAAGACAAUCCUUUAAAAGUACUAGUAACAUAACUGGAGAAUGUAGAAGCCUGCCGGGAACGUUUUUAACGAGAUAAACAUACAAUGAAAAUAGUACAGCAUAGAUUUACUACAAUUUUCUUUUUUAUCUUAUGGAUUCAGUUCUUUCUAUAAUUUUUUUUUUUAUUAUUAUUAUAUCGUUCAAAUAUAUAUAAUGUGUAUAUAAAUAAUAUAACAUAAACAAUAAUGUGUACAUAAAGAUAAUGUGCGAAUGAAAUAAGUAUUUAUACAUAUUUUAUAAAUUAUAAAUUAUAAGAAAGAUUAAUAAUAAACACAAUAUUAAACAGAUUCACGUCAAGUGAAUUCGAAAUAGAAAAUGAAUAAUUAAUAUUUUAAUGGUGCGUAACGAUGAACGAAAUUAAAACAAACGAUAUUUCCUUGCUAUUUCGAUCAAUCGUCAACUGGAAAUAGACGGCCAAUAGCAUUCUAUUUCCUUCGAAGCAAACGAAACGAAUAACAACAAUGGUGUAAAUAAAUAAGAUAUUUAUUGCUUGUAGAAUCUAAUUUCGUACAAUAAUUUUUAUUCGUUUAAAAAUAAAUUAUCGAUACGAUAAUAAUAAAUUAUUAUACGAAUCCGAGUUAAAUAAUAUGACUAUCGAAUAAAAUUAAAAAAAAAAAAAUAACCUCUUACAUAAUCAUCGAUUAUGAAAUACAUCGAUAAAGAAAUAAUAAUUGUUUCAAAAUAUUAUUUCGAAAAUUUAAAAUUUUUUAAUUUUCAUCGUUAACAAAAUUUCAUUUGUUUACAAUUGUUAACAAAACGUGGUUAAUUAUUUAAUCGAUUUCAAAAGAAACCAGGACGCGAACACUUGUAAUUGCCAAUCUACCGAGGUCUCUAGGAAGAAUCUUAAGACGAUCUCUUUUCUCUCUUACGUAUGUCCUUCUUCAUCUUUUAUAACCGAGAUAACAAGCGAUCCAAAAUUCUCGAUUUAAAUUCUUGAAAGGAAACACGACAAUGGCCUCGCUAAAGCGUGUCAUUCAUCGUCUUAUAAGAAUUAUCAAUGAUUGUAUAUUUUCAAACGACAUAGUAAGUGCACGAGUAAAAAAAAAGAAGAAAAAAAAUCGUGAUGAACUUCCAAUAGGAUUUCAUAAAUUUGAAACUAAUUUGAUUAUAAUUAAGUGAGAACGCAAAAAUAAUUGAGGAUUAAGAAAAUAUGGGAUUAGAUAGAAUACUUAGAAUAUUCAGUAAUAUUGCAUAUAGGAUUUUUCAUCUUCUUAGAAGCACUUCAUUUUUUACUUGAGUUAUUUUAAUACUUUCAUUAUAUGUUAUCUUUGUUUAUAAUCUAUGAAAGUUAAUAAAAUAUUUUGAAGAUCACAAGGGAAAUAAAUGUAACAGGAUAUCAUCGUCCAUGUUCAUCGUCGUUAGCCUUUAAAGUAUUUCGAUGUAAAAUGAAUGUUCGUGAAAAGUUCAGUAUACGUCUUGUUCACGUAAUCGUCAUCUCCUUUUAUUGAUGCGUUUGAUGUAAUUUAUUGCCAUGCUUGAGAAAUCGAUUAACAUUAUCCAUCUAAUACGAUUUUCCAUUCGAAUGUCUUAUUAUUGUAAGAAAGUUAAUAAACAUUUAAGAUUAUGAAUUAUCGUAUCGUAUAUAAUUUUGCUUAUAAACAUAUUUAAUAAAAUAUUGAAAUAGUUGAAUUCUAAAUAUUAAUUUAGUGAAGGAAUGUUUUAUUUCGUUCAACUUCAGAUCUAAAUUAAAAUUAGAUCUUCUAAUCGAUCUGUAGAUUUAUUUUGACAUGUUUUUGAUUGAUAAACAUCAAUUAUCUACGAAUUUACUUAUUCAUAUUUUUAUUGUAAAAAGAUAAUUAUUAAAUUUCUCAAACAAUGUGCACUUCAUCGCCACGCAUAAAAUUAUAACGUUAGUCAACUAUACUGAUCUUCGUCGAUUAAAAUAUUAAAUUAAAGAACGUUUAAAAAUAUUAUAAUUAUACUUCCAAGCGUUAUUUUAUCAAAAUUUAAUAUCUUAUCUCUGUUCAAAGAAGCAUUGAUCGAGACAGAAGAAUCUGGAAAAUCAUAGUUAUCCAAUAUACCCUACAAUGUUGUCCAACGUUUACGACGAUUUCCCGACACAGAGGGCGGCGAUUCCUUGAGGCGAUUCUUAGUUGUUCAUCGUCUUGUUCUGUUCACUGGAGACGGGAGCAGAACUCGAACUGGGUCAGGGCAGCGCGCCAAAUGGUUGGAUCAAUUUUAUUUUAAAUUUAUCAAGUCCGCUUCAACUCCAUGGACACGCGUGAUCAGUUCAGAUUUCCAGACUGUGCAUACCGAUUAAAAUGGGAAAACAUACUACAUGGGAUAAGUAACAACGGAGAACCACUGGAACUAUGUGAGUCAGGCAGAAUAAGGUCCAAUAUAAGGCCCUGAGGUGAUUCGCCUAGACGGCCAUGACCAUAUUACAGGCCAAAGGCCCCCGAUACCAUCUAUACUUCCAGUAACAAUUGAUGAAAUCAUUACUGGCAAUUUUUUAUAUUUAUAGUGAUAAAACUAGAAUUAGUAACAAAAACUUCAAUUUAAAUAUUAUCUAAUUCAUCAUUUUAUUAUUUAUAAUAUAAAAGUAAUUGUGUAAAAUAUGAAUUUCAUUAUAAAAAAUAAAUUUCGAAAAAAGUAUAUAUUAUAUAAAAAAAAUAUAUAAAUAUUAUAAAUAUUAAUAAAAAUAAUCGAUAUUUAAGAGAUCAAAUUAUAUAAAAUUUUAUAUUAAAAAAAUAUUAUAAUAUUAUAAUAUAUUAAUAAAAACAUUUUAAUAUAUUGUUACAGAA